UACGUAGGGGCAAGCGUUGGUCCGGAAUCAUUGGGCGUAAAGAGCGCGUAGGCGGUCCGGUAAGUCCGCUGUGAAAGUCGAGGGCUCAACCCUCGAAUGCCGGUGGAUACUGCCGGGCUAGAGUCCGGAAGAGGCGAGUGGAAUUCCUGGUGUAGCGGUGAAAUGCGCAGAUAUCAGGAGGAACACCAAUGGCGAAGGCAGCUCGCUGGGACGGUACUGACGCUGAGGCGCGAAAGCGUGGGGAGCAAACAGG
rnacentral:rRNA from 1 species